CACCAAUUUAGGUAAAUGUACCCUCGAUACUGGAAUCGGUCUUAGAUUCCAAGGUACAUGUGGUACAGUGAAGAUAACCAUAGGUGUUAUAAUAUUUGGAUCCACACACCCAAUUUCAUGAGAUUCGAAGGCAAACGAUCUACCUUGUUUAGCCAACAUCUUUUUGAAACAAAUAAUUUCCUCGGGCAAUAAAGAACCAUCAGAACCAAUCUUCAAUUCUUUAGAAGUCUCU
rnacentral:lncRNA from 1 species